rnacentral:tRNA from 1 species
GCGUUUGUAGUCCAACGAUUAGGAUAAUUGCCUUCCAAGCAAUAGAACCUGGGUUCGACUCCCGGCAAACGCA